rnacentral:lncRNA from 1 species
GUGCUGGGGACCCACGCGGCACCGCGGGGAGGGGGCUCUGCGCGCUCAACCCCGUCCCUGGCAUUAUCCGCCGCCUCCACCCGCCGGCCUCCCGCAGCCUGGCCAGGGCCAUGAGGACCAAGCAGGUGAACUUGCUGAUCACCCUGGUCGCCGUCGCGUUGUUCAGCUUCUCUUGCUUCUCCAUCUACAGGAUAACUCAAACCAAGUAAUGAAGAUUAUUUACAUUCUGUUGUUAAAAUGAUUACAAAAAAAUUCAAAAGGCAAGUGAGGUCUGGAUCCUUAGAGGUCAUUUCAAUACCUGCCUUUUUAUACUCAAGCAUGUUAAAUGCCAAGCACUUAGCUGAGGCCUCACAAAAAUUAGCCAGGAUUGGGAGAGUUGGGGCAAUGUGUGCUCACGCAUUUCAUCAGAGGCCAAACAUAAAGUCACUUUGUGAAGGGAGUUAACAUUGGGUUUCUUCAAGAGGACCAUGAAGAGUUCCAGAGCUUGUGGAGACUACUUUCAAAAUAAAAACAAAAAAAGCCACCUUUCCUUUCCAAGUAAACCAAGGGUUGGCGAAUCAAACAGGUAUUGGAUUUUUGCAUUUUGUUGCUGUAUGCCCAACCCAAGGCCAAGUAUUAUUUACAGCUAGAAGAUGAUAUCAUAGCUAAAGAGAUGUACUUUACAAAAAUAACAGAUUUUGUAGGUAAUAUCAGUUCAAAUAAUUGGUUUUUUAUUGAGUUUUCAAUGCUUGGAUUCAUAGGUAAGCAAUGGAUUUACUUUGUUGGAUCAAGUUUUUUAGCACACAAUAAUUUAAAACAUUUUAAACAGUUUAUCAGUUUGUUUAUUACUAAAUGAAAAAGAAUGGCAUGAUUUUUAUAAAGACACUAUUAUCUUAACAGUAUAAUCAGAUGCAAGUACCUAAAUUCCAGAUAAUGUAUUUUCUUAACCAAACUUUUUUCUAGAGAGAUCAAAUUGACAUUUAGACACAUAAGUCAUAGAAACAUAAAAGAGUUACCAUUUAUUAAAUGCUUGCUGUGAGUCUGGCACACAUGUUAGCUGAGUAGCUAAGAUGUACUUUUCUCUGCUUUACAAGAAUACUGAAACUCAGAUAAUUAAAAUUGUAGAGAAAGGGACUUUAACUCAGUCGCUGCAAUUUCCAGUAUGCUAAAGCUGACAGUCUUAAAAAAUAUAAAAACAUAAUAAAAAUUAUACCCACCACAGAAAAUUUCCAAAUACUAUACCCAUUAUGAGAUCUUUUUUACUACCCUUCCUUAGAUUUUCCUUUUAAAUCCUUCAAUUUUUCUUUCUUCACUUCCAUGCUUUUUUCUUUCCUUUGAACCUCAAGUAUUACCAUACUGCUUAUAUUAUGGUGCAUGACAUUAUUGAUUCAUACAGGAGCUCUUCCUUAUGUAUUCUUUCCUUUUAUUCCCAAUCCCUACACCCUCUUCCUGCCACUCUUCAAUAUAUUGUUCACUCUAAUAUGUUCAAAAUACACUUAUAAAUAUACAAUAUCCAUGUGAAAUAUUUGGUGCUUUUCAUGUUUGUAUAUUCCUAUUCCUUACAUUUUUGUCCUCAAAACUUGAUUUCUAAAUUAUCAGCAUGUUGUUUUAUGUUCAUUUAGUUUAUUGGUUUUUUACUGCUACAUAAGUGCUGCAUAAUGAUGGUCACUGAAAUUUAUGCAUUCAGAAUUGUGCAAAGUGAGGACUACCUGUUUUGCACAUAGAGAUCAUGCAUAUAAAACUGUAACCUGCUUUUAAUUUUUUUACGUCAACAAUCCCAUGAUCAGCUGUCUUAUAGUCACAUCCAAAUUCACUUCCAGCAUUCACUGUCUGUGCUUUCAUCUGUCAUCCAGUUCUUUCUUUUGAUUACCUACUUUUGUUAAAUGUCAUGUGGAUUUAUCAUCAGAAGGCAAGGCAAGGCAACCACACGUUUUGCUGUCUACAAGUGAACUAAAUCUGGAUGCACAGUGACCCAUCACCAAAAGACUUUGAAAGAAGUGAUGACUUAUCACUUAUCACUCACAUUUGGCUUAUCUAUUUCCUGAGUGGCAGACCUUAAUUGCUUCCAAUUUUCUGCUGCCAUGAAAAAAUGAAGUGACAUAUAUGUCCCCUAGAGUGGACCACUGAGGAUUCACAUAGCUCUAAGUACUGCCAAUUGCUUUACAGAUUGGUUAUACGGUUUACGCUCUCAUAAGCAGUGCGUAAAAGUUCGUGCUUCCCCAUAUGCUUGACAACACUUGGUUUUAUCUAUUAUUAUAUGUAUAUAUUUGCCAUUCUCAGUAUAAAGCAUUUCUGGGAUUGCUAGUGAGAUCCAUCUGUUUUUCAUAUACUCACUCGAUGACUUUUGUUUUUCAUGUUUUCUGUAAAAUUUUAAGGGCCCAAAGGUUUUUCCUCAGCCUUGGUUAAAAUAAGAAGGAAAAUUAUUGUUAACAGUAAUACCCAAAGUAAGGCAUGCAGACAAAGUAAUCUUGCUGAUGGAUUAGUCUGAGAAUUUAAAAUUCUCAAAAAAAUUUAUCUUUCUCAGCAAAGUCAAGUAAGAGACACAUAGAGAAUGCUUACAUUCUGAUCACAAGAGCACAUUGAACAAGGAGCACUAUUUAUGGGAUGCCAAAUCUUAUUCAAGUUUUAACUUACAAAAGUUUUUCUUUUAGUUAUCAUAAUAGCAAUUCGGUUAUUCAUUAUUUGCUAAAAAUAUGAGCUUGCCAACUAGAAUUUUACAGCAUGGUGACAGCAGGUUAGGAAUUGAAUCAGCUAUUUUAUACAUCAUUAAAUCACUUGCUUUGGUUACUACAUAAAUAGGUGCAAAAAAUUAAAAAAUUAAAAUACAAUUAUACAUUUUAUUAAGUGACUCAUAUAAACUUAAGUUCUAGUGAAGAAUGAAGCAUGCUUACAUCCGACUUUCAUAUUUAUCAAAUCAUUAGAUGUAUUUUACAUUAUUUACUUUGAAGUGAAUAUGUACCUGAAUCUUAUCCCUUCAACUUCAUUUUAAAAUUAAAGAUGCAGUAUAUAAGAAAAAAACUAUUAGACCUAAUGGAAUAAUAUUUAAAAAUAUAGUAAAUCUUUAAGAAUAACAAAUAUAAAAGAAAAAUAACAUCCUGUUAAAAUAAUGCUCAAAUACUGAAAUGAGAGUACUUUAAUAAAAUUAAGUACUAACAACGAAAAAUGUAGUAGAUUGAUAAAGUGCUACAAAAAUCAGGUAAAAAAUACAGUUUGUACAAAAUUAAGUAAAAGAUUACAACGCCUAUAUAUUUCAUUCUAUUCACUUGUCUUUCACUUGAUUUAGACAAUCAAUCCUCAUGAGUUAUCACAAUUGAUUUCCUGAGAGUAUUGACUAUUCUAAACCUGCUUAUAUUCUCCUUCAGAUGUGGUAAUCCUUAAUACUUAAGCAGAUAUAGUGUUUAAUUUUAUCAUUGUCUAACUUCAGCAGUGCUUUAAUCUUUAUUUCUAAGGAAUGGGACAUAUUUAAAUUUUAAUAACUUUUGCUUUUUCCCAUGUUAAAGGAAUGAACAACUACAUAUGAAUUAUUUGCAUCUAAUUGUAUUUUUUUCCAUAGGAAAGCUGUUUAGAUCUGAGGACUUAACUCACUUUGUACGGUUUUUUUUAAUGUUCUACAAAGAGAAACCCAUAGACUGGCUCUUGAAUGACAUUUUUCAGGUAAAGGUGUGUGACGCAGGAGAAGAUCUUAGAAACUGUAUGAAACGAAAGAAGCAAAUACGUAUUCAGUAUAAACCUUCUCUUUUCCAGCAUGUGGGUAUACAUUCAUCAUUCCCUAGAAAAGAACAAUAUGAAAAA